rnacentral:misc_RNA from 1 species
GGGUGCUAUAAUGGCGGAGCUGUUUACUCUUCGUCCACUUUUUCCAGGAGCAAGUGAAACAGACCAAAUCUACAAAAUUUGCAAUAUACUCGGCACUCCAACUAUGGAUACAUGGUCUGGUGGGCUUUGUCUUGCAAGGAACAUCAAUUAUCAAUUCCCGCAGUUUAAAGGUGUUCAUCUCUCUGUUGUUAUUCCCUCAGCCAGUGAUGAUGCAGUCAAUCUUAUUGCAUCACUUUGUUCAUGGGAUCCGUCCAAGAGACCAACCGCUAUGGAAGCCCUCCAACAUCCCUUCUUCCAAAGUUGCUACUACGUUCCACCGUCUCUUCGUGCUAGAGCACCAAUCGCUCGGACCCCUCCUUCUGUUGGAACAAAGGAUUUGCUGGAGCAGCAGACUGCUAAAAGAUAUCCUGUGGCUUUAUCUGAUUCAAGAAUUGCCGGUAAUUUCUCCUCUCCGAAGUUGCCUGCGUUGUUGAGCACAGGUGUGCAGAGGAAGUUGGAUUUGAUGAACCAGGAUGCAAAUAAGAACGAUAAAACUAUGAAAAGCACAAUUAGACAACAGAAAUACCGACCGCCUGUGAGGAAUAGCCCUACGAACUCCAUCUACAAGGGAAAUAAUGUGCGUGGAGUUUCAGAUACAGGUGAAAAGUUGGCAAACAUGACAAUCGCCCCUCGCAAGCCAUCUAUUGGGCAGCUUCCUCGUCCGAUGAAAGCGGGUGUUCGUUGGAGCGGUUCCUCCAGUGAUCUGUUAAUAAGGCCCGCCCAAGAGUUUCAACCUGGCAGCAAUUACCCGAGGAAGGUUGCUGGAUGAUAGCCCCUUCCUCUCGUUAUCCGUCCUUAUACUUUAUGUUUUUUUCUUUGAAGAAUCGUAUGCAACAUCCUCCUGGGAAUUUAUGUAAUAAAUGAUGCCUCUGCUGACUCGUUUGUUUUUUAGUUUUUGUUUGCUACUAUACUCUUAUGUUUAUGUUUGCAUGAUGAAAUAAAAGAUUAUCAAUCUCUUCC